CAAUAGCGUAUAUUAAAGUUGUUGCAGUUAAAAAGCUCGUAGUUGGAUUUCUGGUGGGAGCGAUCGGUCUGGCGCUUAGCGCGAGUACUUGCAUCGUCUCCGGCCAUCCUUGGGGAAAGUCUGUCUGGCAUUAAGUUGUCGGGCAGAGGAUCCUCAUCGUUUACUGUGAAAAAAUUAGAGUGUUCAAAGCAGGCUUAUGCCGUUGAAUAUAUUAGCAUGGAAUAAUAAGCUAGGACUUUGGUACUAUUUUGUUGGUUUGCGCACCAAAGUAAUGAUUAAUAGGGACAGUUGGGGGUAUUCGUAUUCCGUUGUCAGAGGUGAAAUUCUUGGAUUUACGGAAGACGAACUACUGCGAAAGCAUUUACCAAGGAUGUUUUCAUUAA
rnacentral:rRNA from 1 species